rnacentral:rRNA from 1 species
ACGUAGGCACCAAGCGUUGUCCGGAUUUAUUGGGCGUAAAGAGCUCGUAGGCGGUUCAGUAAGUCGGGUGUGAAAACUCUGGGCUCAACCCAGAGAGGCCACCCGAUACUGCUGUGACUUGAGUACGGUAGGGGAGUGGGGAAUUCCUGGUGUAGCGGUGAAAUGCGCAGAUAUCAGGAGGAACACCGGUGGCGAAGGCGGCUUCCUGGACCGACACUGAUGCUGAGGCGCGAAAGCUAGGGGAGCAAACGGGA